rnacentral:lncRNA from 12 species
GCAGCUCUGGGUGGCACCUUCUGGGUGGCUGUUCCUUCACAAAGGGAGAUCAAAUCAACUGUAAGGUCUCUUCCUCCUGUGCUGAAGUUGUCUCAGCCUUCCCUCUGCUUGGUGAAAGAAGAAAGCUGCGUUCUUGUUUCCUUGCCAAGUUGCCAGUGCCCUGGUUUCCAUGACAGCAGAGAAGAAUGGAAGCCAGGCUCUCACCUCAAAGGAAUUAAAGCCCACCCUCUUGGAGAACAAACAAUGAUUCCAAGAGAGUUCUGGAAAUUGGAGACUGUUUGUUUUGAUUCAUCCAGCUGCACAGUAUGGGGCUCUAGGAAGGAGAAGGAAAAGAAUCAGAAUGCAGGGGAGUUGUUUGUCAAUUCUCCUCUGUACUAGAUACUGCUAGUAAAGGGGAAAAGCGGAUGGACACGAGGUAGACAGGAUGUGCCAUGUCUGCUACUAUGGUACUCAAUAAAUGUUUGUUUCCUUCUCUCUUUCCUUUUCCA